UCGUGUGCAGGUGUUUUCCAGUCA
rnacentral:miRNA from 1 species